UUCGGUAUCAACUUAAGCCCGGUGCACACGACGCUUGUUUCGCUGCUGGAUUGCUUGCUAGAUUUGCCGCUGGGUUCAAAGUUGGCUGCGGUGCUGAGUGCUAUGAUGACUUCCCUGCGAGAUUGGCUUCACACGGUGCUUGCCGCUGUGCGCAAGCUAUGCCGGACAACUCUUCUCCGUCGAUGAUACUAU
rnacentral:lncRNA from 1 species